GGGAUUAUUUCAGGUCCUCUGUCUUACC
rnacentral:piRNA from 1 species